rnacentral:rRNA from 1 species
CCAAAGCUGGCGACCGGCGCACGGGUGAGUAACACGUAUCCAACCUGCCUCAUACUCGGGGAUAGCCUUUCGAAAGAAAGAUUAAUAUCCGAUAGCAUAUAUUUCCCGCAUGGGUUUUAUAUUAAAGAAAUUCGGUAUGAGAUGGGGAUGCGUUCCAUUAGUUUGUUGGGGGGGUAACGGCCCGCCAAGACUACGAUGGAUAGGGGUUCUGAGAGGAAGGUCCCCCACAUUGGAACUGAGACACGGUCCAA